GCAAGUCGAACGCACUCUCGUUAGAUUGAAGGAGCUUGCUCCUGAUUGAUAAACAUUUGAGUGAGUGGCGGACGGGUGAGUAACACGUGGGUAACCCUGCCCUAAAGUGGGGGGAUAACAUUUGGAAACAGAUGCUAAUACCGCAUAAAACCUAACACCGCAUGGUGUAGGGUUGAAAGAUGGUUUCGGCUAUCACUUUAGGAUGGACCCGCGGUGCAUUAGUUAGUUGGUGAGGUAAAGGCUCACCAAGACCGUGAUGCAUAGCCGACCUGAGAGGGUAAUCGGCCACACUGGGACUGAGACACGGCCCAGACUCCUACGGGAGGCAGCAGUAGGGAAUCUUCCACAAUGGACGAAAGUCUGAUGGAGCAACGCCGCGUGAGUGAAGAAGGUUUUCGGAUCGUAAAACUCUGUUGUUGGAGAAGAAUGUAUCUGAUAGUAACUGAUCAGGUAGUGACGGUAUCCAACCAGAAAGCCACGGCUAACUACGUG
rnacentral:rRNA from 1 species